ACUCCUACGGGAGGCAGCAGUAGGGAAUCUUCCACAAUGGGCGCAAGCCUGAUGGAGCAACACCGCGUGAGUGAAGAAGGGUUUCGGCUCGUAAAGCUCUGUUGUUAAAGAAGAACACGUAUGAGAGUAACUGUUCAUACGUUGACGGUAUUUAACCAGAAAGUCACGGCUAACUACGUGCCAGCAGCCGCGGUAAUACGUAGGUGGCAAGCGUUAUCCGGAUUUAUUGGGCGUAAAGAGAGUGCAGGUGGUUUUCUAAGUCUGAUGUGAAAGCCUUCGGCUUAACCGGAGAAGUGCAUCGGAAACUGGGAAACUUGAGUGCAGAAGAGGACAGUGGAACUCCAUGUGUAGCGGUGAAAUGCGUAGAUAUAUGGAAAACACCAGUGGCGAAGGCGGCUGUCUGGUCUGUAACUGACGCUGAGGCUCGAAAGUAUGGGUAGCAAACAGGAUUAGAUACCCUGGUAGGAUAGCG
rnacentral:rRNA from 1 species